UACGUAGGGCGCAAGCGUUGUCCGGAAUUAUUGGGCGUAAAGAGCUCGUAGGCGGCUUGUCACGUCGGGUGUGAAAGCCCGGGGCUUAACCCCGGGUCUGCAUUCGAUACGGGCAGGCUAGAGUGUGGUAGGGGAGAUCGGAAUUCCUGGUGUAGCGGUGAAAUGCGCAGAUAUCAGGAGGAACACCGGUGGCGAAGGCGGAUCUCUGGGCCAUUACUGACGCUGAAGAGCGAAAGCGUGGGGAGCGAACAGG
rnacentral:rRNA from 1 species